ensembl:snRNA U6 U6 spliceosomal RNA
UCACUUUCACAAUGCAUAUAUUAAAACUGAAAGAAUAUGGAGAAAAUUGAUGUGGUCCCUGAGCAAAGAUGACUUAGAGACUCCUGAGGCGCUUAUAUUUUUG